rnacentral:rRNA from 1 species
UGAUUACUAGGUGUUGGGGGUCGAACCUCAGCGCCCAAGCAAACGCGAUAAGUAAUCCGCCUGGGGAGUACGUACGCAAGUAUGAAACUCAAAGGAAUUGACGGGGACCCGCACAAGCGGUGGAGCAUGUGGUUUAAUUCGACGCAACGCGAGGAACCUUACCAGCGUUUGACAUCUUAGGAAUGAGAUAGAGAUAUUUCAGUGUCCCUUCGGGGAAACCUAAAGACAGGUGGUGCAUGGCUGUCGUCAG